GAUGAACGCUGGCGGCGUGCCUAAUACAUGCAAGUCGAGCGAACAGAUAAGGAGCUUGCUCCUUUGACGUUAGCGGCGGACGGGUGAGUAACACGUGGGUAACCUACCUAUAAGACUGGAAUAACUCCGGGAAACCGGGGCUAAUGCCGGAUAACAUGUUGAACCGCAUGGUUCUACAGUGAAAGGCGGUUUUGCUGUCACUUAUAGAUGGACCCGCGCCGUAUUAGCUAGUUGGUGAGGUAACGGCUCACCAAGGCAACGAUACGUAGCCGACCUGAGAGGGUGAUCGGCCACACUGGAACUGAGACACGGUCCAGACUCCUACGGGAGGCAGCAGUAGGGAAUCUUCCGCAAUGGGCGAAAGCCUGACGGAGCAACGCCGCGUGAGUGAUGAAGGUCUUCGGAUCGUAAAACUCUGUUAUUAGGGAAGAACAAAUGCGUAAGUAACUGUGCGCGUCUUGACGGUACCUAAUCAGAAAGCCACGGCUAACUACGUG
rnacentral:rRNA from 1 species